AGCUUCACACAUUGAAUGGGUCUGCAACGAUUCGGUUUGAUUCAUUGUAAAUCGAAGCUGACACCUUAGUUUCGAUUUUCGAUAACCAUUAUCACUAUUUCGCUCCGGUAUUUAA